AGGUCAAGCAAGAAAGGGCAUACGGUGGAUGCCACAGGCACCGAGAGGCGAAGAAGGACGCAGCGAGCGGCGAAACGCUCCGGGGAGCUGCAAGCGAGCGUAGAUCCGGAGAUAUCCGAAUGGGGCAACCCGAUGAGAGCGAACUCUCAUCACCCGAAAGGGAGCGAACCAGGGGAACUGAAACAUCUAAGUACCCUGAGGAAAAGAAAUCAAAAGAGAUUCCCCAAGUAGCGGCGAGCGAACAGGGAGGAGCCCAAACCAUAGCGAUAUGGGGUUGAGGUCACGGCACAAAAAGGAAGGCAAGUAUCUCAGGAGAACGGGACUGGAAAGCCCGGCCGCAGAAAGUGAAAGCCUUGUAUCCGAAAAGAGAAAGCCGGACAGCCGUGGACCGGAGUACCACGGGACACGCCACCCCGUGGGAAGCAGGGAGGACCACCUUCCAAGGCUAAAUACUACUCGGUGACCGAUAGCGCAUAGUACCGUGAGGGAAAGGUGAAAAGAACCCCGGGAGGGGAGUGAAACAGAACCUGAAACCGUAUGCCUACAAGCAGUGGGAGCACAAAGUGACCACGUACUUUUUGUAGAACGGGCCGGCGAGUUAUGGUAUCUGGCGAGGUUAAGUGCUUAAGGCACGAAGCCGAAGCGAAAGCGAGUCUUAAGUAGGGCGUCAAGUCAGAUAACAUAGACCCGAAACCGGGCGACCUACCCAUGGCCAGAGUGAAGCGAGGGUAAAGCCUCGUGGAGGCUCGAACCACGUUGUCGUUGAAAAGGCAUGGGAUGAGCUGUGGGUAGCGGAGAAAUUCCAAUCGAGCUCGGAGAUAGCUGGUUCUCCUCGAAAUAGCUUUAGGGCUAGCCUCAACCGGUAAGAUAUGGGGGUAGAGCACUGAAUGGGCUAGGGGCCGAUAAGGUUACCGAACCCUAUCAAACUCCGAAUACCAUAUCUGUAAAGUUGGGAGUCAGACUGCGAGUGCCAAGAUCCGCAGUCAAAAGGGAAACAGCCCAGACCGACUGCUAAGGUCCCCAAGUAACGCUUAAGUGGUAAAGGAUGUAGGAUUACGAAGACAACCAGGAUGUUGGCUUAGAAGCAGCCACACAUUCAAAGAGUGCGUAAUAGCUCACUGGUCGAGUGAUCCUGCGCCGAAAAUUAGCGGGGCUAAAGCGUACACCGAAGCAUCGGAUAGCACACCUAAAGAGUGCUAUGGUAGAGGAGCGUUCCUUACGGGCAGAAGGCAAGCUGAGAAGCGAGCUGGACUGUAAGGAAGAGAGAAUGCCGGCAUAAGUAACGCGAGUAGAGUGAGAAACUCUACCGUCGAAAGUCUAAGGUUUCCUGGGUAAAGGUCAUCUACCCAGGGUAAGUCGGGACCUAAGCCGAGGCCGGAAGGCGUAGGCGAUGGACAACCGGUAAAGAUUCCGGUACCACCGAAGACCGACAAAAAGGAAGCGGGGACGCAUAAAGAAGUUAACUACGGGCGGUUGGUAGAGCCCGUCCAAGCAGCGAGUCAUCCCUGUGAGUAAAGCACCACAGGGCAAGGCGAGCUGUGAUGGGGAGCGCAAGCGAAGAGUUAACUUAACGUGCCAAGAAAAGCCGCUACUAGGUUGAGGUGCCCGUACCGCAAACCGACACAGGCAGACGAGGAGAGAAUCCAAAGACGGACGGGAGAACUCCUGUUAAGGAACUCGGCAAAAUGACCCCGUAACUUAGGGAGAAGGGGUGCCACGAGAGUGGCCGCAGAGAAAUGGCCCAAGCGACUGUUUACCAAAAACACAGGUCUCUGCCAAGUCGAAAGACGAAGUAUAGGGGCUGACGCCUGCCCGGUGCUGGAAGGUUAAGGGGAGGGGUAAACGCUCUGAACCGAAGCCCCAGUAAACGGCGGCCGUAACUAUAACGGUCCUAAGGUAGCGAAAUUCCUUGUCGGGUAAGUUCCGACCCGCACGAAAGGCGUAACGACUUGGGCGCUGUCUUAACAGGAUACCCGGUGAAAUUGUAGUACUCGUGAAGAUGCGAGUUACCUGCGACUGGACGGAAAGACCCCAUGGAGCUUUACUGCAGCCUGGCACUGGAUUUUGAUGCAGUCUGUACAGGAUAGGUGGGAGGCUGGGAGAUAAGGGCGCCAGCUCUUAUGGAGCCGGUAGUGGGAUACCACCCUGAUUGCAUUGAAAUUCUAACCUUAGAGUAGUGAACCUACGAAGGGACACUGUCAGGUGGGCAGUUUGACUGGGGCGGUCGCCUCCCAAAGAGUAACGGAGGCGUCCAAAGGUUACCUCAGAGCGGAUGGAAAUCGCUCAAAGAGAACAAAGGCAUAAGGUAGCCUAACUGUGAGAGAGACAUCUCGAACAGGGACGAAAGUCGGGCUUAGUGAUCCGGCGGAAUGUAAGUGGGCAUGCCGUCGCUCAACGGAUAAAAGCUACCCUGGGGAUAACAGGCUGAUCUUCCCCAAGAGUCCACAUCGACGGGAAGGUUUGGCACCUCGAUGUCGGCUCAUCGCAUCCUGGGGCUGAAGUAGGUCCCAAGGGUUGGGCUGUUCGCCCAUUAAAGCGGUACGCGAGCUGGGUUCAGAACGUCGUGAGACAGUUCGGUCCCUAUCCAUCGCAGGCGCAGGAAAUUUGAGAGGAGCUGUCCUUAGUACGAGAGGACCGGGACAGACCGACCGAUGGUGUACCAGUUGUCCUGCCAAGGGCACCGCUGGGUAGCCAAGUCGGGAGGGAUAAACGCUGAAAGCAUCUAAGCGUGAAGCCCACCUCAAGAUAAGAUUUCCCACCGAAAGGAUAAGACACCUUGGAGAACACGAGGUUGAUAGGCCGGAGGUGUAAGUGCAGAAAUGCAUUCAGCUGACCGGUACUAAUAUGUCGAGAGCUUGACCUGAAGA
rnacentral:rRNA from 1 species